UGAUCAUUACCAAGGCAUUUGCCGUGGACAUGACCACAAAAUAUUUAUGCACCAGGUUUUCUUUCUGCAACAUUGCUAGCAUUCAGCCUAUUGUGAACAUUU